rnacentral:rRNA from 1 species
AGUGGGGAAUAUUGGACAAUGGGCGCAAGCCUGAUCCAGCCAUGCCGCGUGAGUGAUGAAGGCCCUAGGGUUGUAAAGCUCUUUUGUGCGGGAAGAUAAUGACGGUACCGCAAGAAUAAGCCCCGGCUAACUUCGUGCCAGCAGCCGCGGUAAUACGAAGGGGGCUAGCGUUGCUCGGAAUCACUGGGCGUAAAGGGUGCGUAGGCGGGUCUUUAAGUCAGAGGUGAAAUCCUGGAGCUCAACUCCAGAACUGCCUUUGAUACUGAGGAUCUUGAGUUCGGGAGAGGUGAGUGGAACUGCGAGUGUAGAGGUGAAAUUCGUAGAUAUUCGCAAGAACACCAGUGGCGAAGGCGGCUCACUGGCCCGAUACUGACGCUGAGGCACGAAAGCGUGGGGAGCAAA